AUUGAACGCUGGCGGCAGGCUUAACACAUGCAAGUCGAGCGGAGAUGAGGUGCUUGCACCUUAACUUAGCGGCGGACGGGUGAGUAAUGCUUAGGAAUCUGCCUAUUAGUGGGGGACAACAUGACGAAAGGAAUGCUAAUACCGCAUAACUCCUACGGGAAAAAGGAGGGGACAUUCGGGCCUUGCGCUAAAAGAUGAGCCUUAGUCGGAUUAGCUAGUUGGUAGGGUAAAGGCCCACCAAGGCGACGAUCUGUAGGGGGCCUGAGAGGAUGAUCCGCCACACUGGGACUGAGACACGGCCCAGACUCCUACGGGAGGCAGCAGUGGGGAAUAUUGGACAAUGGGCGGAAGCCUGAUCCAGCCAUGCCGCGUGUGUGAAGAAGGCCUUUUGGUUGUAAAGCACUUUAAGCGAGGAGGAGGCUACUUAGAUUAAUACUCUAGGAUAGUGGACGUUACUCGCAGAAUAAGCACCGGCUAACUCUGUGCCAGCCGCCGCGGUAACAC
rnacentral:rRNA from 1 species